GGUAGUCCACGCUGUAAACGAUGUCGAUUUGAAGGUUGUUCCCUUGAGGAGUGGCUUUCGGAGCUAACGCGUUAAAUCGACCGCCUGGGGAGUACGGCCGCAAGGUUAAAACUCAAAUGAAUUGACGGGGGCCCGCACAAGCGGUGGAGCAUGUGGUUUAAUUCGAUGCAACGCGAAGAACCUUACCUACUCUUGACAUCCAGAGAAUUUAGCAGAGAUGCUUUAGUGCCUUCGGGAACUCUGAGACAGGUGCUGCAUGGCUGUCGUCAGCUCGUGUUGUGAAAUGUUGGGUUAAGUCCCGCAACGAGCGCAACCCUUAUCCUUUGUUGCCAGCGAUUCGGUCGGGAACUCAAAGGAGACUGCCGGUGAUAAACCGGAGGAAGGUGGGGAUGACGUCAAGUCAUCAUGGCCCUUACGAGUAGGGCUACACACGUGCUACAAUGGCGUAUACAAAGAGAAGCGACCUCGCGAGAGCAAGCGGAACUCAUAAAGUACGUCGUAGUCCGGAUUGGAGUCUGCAACUCGACUCCAUGAAGUCGGAAUCGCUAGUAAUCGUAGAUCAGAAUGCUACGGUGAAUACGUUCCCGGGCCUUGUACACACCGCCCGUCACACCCCGGGAGUGGGUUGCUAUAUAGUCUCGCGGGGCGUGUAGAGUCCACACUAUGUCGUAUGAGAUAAU
rnacentral:rRNA from 1 species